GUCAAUCUGAUUCUAACCUAGAAGUUAUAAGAUUUUUAAAUGGAAGAUUUUUCUUGGGCUAAGCUAUAUCCAGAAGUAUAUAAAGUAUGUACAUUAUUUCAAAUGACGGAAAUAGCAAAUCCAAUUGAAUUUCAUUAUAAAAAACUUGACCAAUUUCUACAAGAUGGGCCUCAGUGUGGUUUAGUUGCACUUGCCAUGUGUGUGGGAAAUCCUACAAAGGACAGUAUUCAAAAUUUAUUUGAAACUGCAAAAAAAUAUAAUUUUUCAAACAACGGAGAAAUGUUUAGUGUUGAUAAUAUGGCAACUUUAGCAAAAGAAGUGUUACCAAUUGGAACUGAAAUUAAAGUAUACAAUGGUUAUUUAGACAAUGAUUUUAUCAAGAAAAGUUUGCUUGGUGGUAGUAUUAUGUUAGUACCGUAUCCUUUCUUAUUACAUUUCUAUUAGUUCUUGUUGUUGAAUACCUUAAUAAAUAAUUAGUUAUGACACAGAGAAAGAUAACUCUCCAGGUUUAUGCAAAGGUCACAAAGCUCAUUGGGCUGCCAUUUGUGGUGGAAUUCUAACUGAAAACGAUUUUUAUGUUCUUGCAAGACAUGGUAAAGCUAGGAAUGUAGCAAUCUGGAAAUUGAAAGUUUUAGCUAACAGCAAUAAACAACUGUUGGAAUUUUCUCCAGAUAGAAAAUUUCAGGAUAUUGUUUAUAAAUUACCAAUUGGUGGAAUUUCAGGUCCAUAUGGAUUGAAAGAAAAAAGUAUUUUAAUUCAAUAUAAGUGUUGAAUAUUAUAAUACUUAUAUUUAUAGGAAAAAAUAAAAUUAACUCACCUUUUAAAAAUGUUCACAUAAAAUCUACUUCUUUUUUAUUCUAUCAAAGUGAAUAAUGUGCUCAAAAUUAAAUUCAAAUUGUAUACAUAAAAUCCAGGGUAUUGAAAAAUCAGUUCUAAACAAUAAAGCAAUCAUAUUUGUAAAUAAUACCAUAUGUUCAAUAUUGCAUAUAUGUAUAAUAAUUUAGAAAUAAAACACACCAGAUAUACCUAUGAAUAUGACAAGAAAAGAUAGCAGUUCGAAAUAAAAGUUUCAUUAACAAAAUAUUAGUAUAGCUAUGGGUCGAUAUGGUCGAAACAUCAGUUUGAAUGAAAAUUAUCGCAUCACUGGUAUUUUAGGAUUUUUUAAUACUUAAUUUUAGUUUUUUUGGAACAAUCUGUAUAUGUAUCAACUUAAUAGAUAUUUCUGGUUUCUUAUCAUGGACAAAAAAAUAUCACAAUUUCUUACAAAUUUUUUGGAAUCAAAAAUGUUUGAGUAAAUCAUUUCUGUCUUGGAGAAUGCAUUGAGAUCGAGAGCUUUCUAAGGAAAUUGUGUUAUUGUUUAGUGAAAAUUAUUUUGUUACUAAUUGAUGUGCCUUUUUUUCGUCAAAUAAUCUAUAACCAUUUGGUGCAUAGCCAACAAAUAAGUAUUGUUCACUUCUUUCAUCAAGUAUCUUUGCAUAUGUUUUUGUUACAAAAAUUUGCAUUCUUUCAAUACCAGGUUUUUUAUUUGCCCACAUUUUGGUUGGUGUUUUAUUAAAUGGUAUAUAUUCUGUAGGAGUUCGGUUUAAUAUUUAACUAUGGCUGCUUCACCCUAAAAUUUCUCUUUAAUUUGACUGCCAAAUAAUAGUGAUCUAACUUUCUCAAUAAGUGUUCAAUUGAAGCUCCUACUUUAUCAUUUAACUGUGGUGUAUAUGGUAUAGUCAUGUCCAACUAAAUACCCUUUUUUCUGUAGUAGUCUAUCAAUUCAUUGUUAUAUUCAUCUCCAUUAUCACCAUUGUUGAAACUCAUAUUUUUGUAUCUUUCAUUUGCUUCUAGAUAUUCUUGUAUAAAGUCUGAAGCUUCAUUUUUAUAUUCUAAUAAAUACAUUUCUGUCCAGUUUGUGCAAUCAUCAAUAAGAGUAAGAAUAUAGUUUCAUUAUCCCAGAUUAGUGGAUCAAUUGGACCACAUUAAUGAGUAUGGAUAAUUUCCAAUGCUCUUGUAGCCUUUGUUCUUUCUGAAUUAAAUGGAAAUUUCUCUCUACUUUUCCAGUCAACCCUUAAUACCACCUCUAAAUCAAUCAUUUUAUUUAUAUUUUUUAUGUUAAUAUGCCCAAAUUUUCAAUGCCAGUCAUUUACUUUUUCUUGUUAAAUUUCCAACGAAAAACUUUCUUCUUUGUUUUCAUUUGAUUCAUUUAGUUACUGAUAAUAAGCCUGGCUCAUUCUUUUUUCCUUCAAAUAUUUUUUGAUUAUUUUUUAAAACCAUAACUUUGUCUCUUUCAAAGAUCACCUUUCCUUUAUUUUCGGUAAUUGCUUUUCUGGUCCUUUUUACAAAUUUUGCAAAACAUUUUUUCAUUUUUCAUAGUUUCAUUUCUGUUUCCUGAACAAUUUUUAUUACUUUUCUCAUAUUUACUCAUACUAGCACCUUUGUAUCUACAAAAAUGUGCUAUGUCUAUGUUUCUACAUAUAUAUGGACAAACUUUGCAUUGUUUUGAAAAGCUACACUCAGUGCCUUUUUCAAAUUGACAACUAAAAAAUUCUCAAAGCAAAUAUCAUUUUUGAUCAUUUGUGUUCCUUUUAAUGAGCGUUUUUAAUUUUGUGUACAUCUGGGCUGAACUUUCACAGUUCAUUAUAUAAAUUAUCACUUUUUUAACCACUGUAGAGAUAAUUAUUUUCUGCGUUUUCGCAUCUUUUUAUAUCCAGGUUUUCUUAUCUCUCUCCCAGCUAAAUCUUCCAUUUUUCUUCUCCCAUUACUAUAUUAUAAAUUUCACUAGCUUUAAAAGAGAUUCCUGUUUAAAAGUCCCAAAUUUCAAAAAAUUAAGAGCAUCAGUUUUUCAAUAUUACUUAUUUCUUCAGUUUCAGUAGCCAUUGUUUUGACUUUCGUUUAAAAAAGCACAAGUCACUUUUAUUUUUAUGUUGAUCUUUAUGGCACUUCUUCAGUUAGGGCUUUCCUGUGCCCAUAACCUGUUAGUUUUUUGUUUUAUUUUAUUCUUUUAUUAAUAAAGAGUAGUACACAGUGGAACUUUGUUACAUGAACCUAAAAACAUCUACGUUAUUCUAGAAUAAUAAUCUAAUAUCUAACACUAAUAAGCUAAUUACUAAGACUAAGAUCACUAAAUAUUAUUCUCUAACAAUCAUAAUCUAAUCAAUUUUAAUAGCAAUCAGAAUCAAUAAACUCAAAAUUUAUGUCAAGUGGUAAUUUGAAUAUUGAUUUUUGAAUCUUAUGAAUUCUAUAAUUUUCAAUUAAUAAAUGUAAGUGAUAUAUAAUGUUUUUAUACUUUAUACAUAUUUUCACACCAAAACAAAAAAAAUAAAGUUUACUUAAUAUGACAUCAAUCCGUUUUCUAUUUCAGAGUUGAAAUUUAGGACUGAAUAUGUAUUAAAAAUGUUUUCAUGGAUGGAUUAAUCCUUGAUGCAUAUAUAUGUAAGAGGUCUAUUUCUGUGUAUAUCAAUUUCCGAUAUUUUUCUGUAUUUGAAAAUGCUCAAUUGGUUUCAUCUUUAUUCGAUUAGAUUACUGAACGAUCAGGUCGCUUCGGAAAGUUAAGUAGUCAUUGAGAAUGAUUAGUUCAACUGUCUCAAGUGAGUAGACUUCUCAAAUGAAGAUACCUACAUCAGAAAAAGAAGAAGAAAACAUCAUUAAGUUUCCAAUGGAACUUUCCAUAAAUUGGUUUGACUUUUGCGUUGUUGGCAUGAUAAUACCUAUGGUUGAAAUAUGAACAUAAUUUAUUUAUCUUCUCUUCUGUUUUAUUCGAUUACUUCAACAAAUGCUUGGGACUCCGAGCAAUUAGAAGUAUUUGAUGCUGUAGACGAUGUCAAACAAAACUUUUAUGAACUUCUUAAUAUUUCUAAAGAUGCUACCAGUUCUGAAAUUAAAUCAGCAUUCAGAACGCUCUCUCUUAAGCUACAUCCAGACAAAAAUAAAGAAGUUGAUACCUCUGAACAAUUCCGUAAUUUAGUUACAGUCUAUGAAGUCUUAAAAAGCCCUGCCAAAAGAAAGUAUUAUGAUGAUACCCUCAUCAAUGGACUUCCUAACUGGAGGUCGGGUAUAUUCUACUACAGAUAUGUUCGUAAAAUGGGAAUAACUGAAGUUUUAGUAAUUCUUUUUGUUAUUAUUACUAUUGGACAAUACUUGGUUAACUGGGGAGUCUACUUUGAGAAAAUUCUGACUGUGGAAGAUCAAAAACUUCGAAAGAAAAAAUCACGAAACAGAGGGAAAGUUGAGGAAGAUCCAGAUAUUAUUAUACCAAAACCAUCAGUAUUAGAUACACUUCCUAUCCAAAUACCAAAAUUUGUCUGGUUCUUAAUAACAUGCAUCCCUGCUGCAUUUAGAUUUUUAACAUCUUCAGUCAAAAAUAAGAUAGAAGUUAACAGACCUCUGACACCAGAACUAGAACCUGAACCUGUAAGGAUUAAAACCACCAGAAAAAGGAAUAAAUUUAUACUUCCAGAAGGGCCUAACUUUGAACUUCAAGAUACAGAGCCAAAAAGUGACUGUGGUACUUCAGCUCCUCCUCCUCCUGUUUCAGGAGGCCUUUGGACUGAUGAUGAUUUAACAGAAUUAAUAAGAUUAGUAAAAAAAUUUCCUCAAGGAACAACUGAGAGAUGGGAAAAAAUUGCUGCCUUUCUCAAUAGAUCUGUACCGGAAGUCACAUAUAUGGCAAAUAAGAUGAAAGAAAAUGGCUAUAGAUUACCAUGUGAACAGGAUGAUGAAAUACAAGUUAAAGUAAAACAAAAAUCAAAGAAAGAGGUUGGUCCCUAUGAUAGUGUAACAAAUUGGGGACAGGCACAGCAAAAGGCAUUGGAAGAUGCUCUUUUGAAGUUUCCCAAGGGAGUUUGUGAUAGAUGGGAUAGGAUAGCUGAACACGUUCCUGACAAAAAUAAAGAAGAAUGUAUGCAGAGGUUUAGGUACCUAGCGGAGGAUCUGAAGAAACGAAAAGAUACCUCUGAUAAGACUGAAUAAACAAAUUUUAUGAAUGCAAAAGUUUUUCGUAGAAGAAAAAUGAUUGAAUUCAUUUACGUAGAUAAGGAAAAUAAAUUGGAGCUCCAUGAAUUGGAAAAUGAUGUCCGGCCAUUGCGUUGUACAAACAAAAACCUGUCUUUAAAUGCAUCUUAAGGAUGCAUUCAUAGAGCUCAAAGUAAAGAAUAAAAAGCUAUGGGCUGCAUAUAUUUGUAUCAAGGAAGCAUAAUGUAAAGGAAGAUGUAUUUGAUUGGAAAUUGAGGAAUAUAAAAAAACAUAUACAGGAAUUGAAGAUGUUUGAAAAAUAGGAAGGGGUAGAAUCCAUGGGAUUAGCAAUUUGAUGAUAUUUACAUCGACAAAACUGUAAGUCUACAACAGACGAUAACAUUAACCUCAGUGUUUGUAAUCCGGAAGAGUCCGAUAAAUUUAAAGCCACUAGGGAAACUAUUAGGAUAAACCUACUCUAAUCGCCCUAACCCAGUCUUUCAACUGCUCCUCAAAUUAAUAUAAAGGCCAUUUCACACACUCCAUCGUAUGUUAAUUUUUACUUGUAUUUUUACUUAUAUAAUUUUUUUGUGUUAAAAAAAUAAAACAGAUUUAUAAUGUAUUCUAUUUGUAGAGGUUGUAAGAAAUUGUAUUCAAAAAGUGAGAUGUUUUAUUUAAGAAAAACACUGGUCGACAUUGAGUAAGCACUAGUGAAAGAAACUAGACUUCUAAGAGAGGCUUUAGAAAGAAAUAAUUAAAUUCAGUAAUAAAAAUAAUUUUAAAAGAAUUAUGUAGAUUCUCUCUCCAAAAAAACAAUAAAUUUUAUUAAAAUAAAGUA